AACGAACGCUGGCGGCAUGCCUAACACAUGCAAGUCGAACGAGACCUUCGGGUCUAGUGGCGCACGGGUGCGUAACGCGUGGGUACCUGCCCUUAGGUUCGGAAUAACUCCCCGAAAGGGGUGCUAAUACCGGAUAAUGUCUUCGGACCAAAGAUUUAUCGCCUUUGGAUGGGCCCGCGUUGGAUUAGCUAGUUGGUAGGGUAAAAGCCUACCAAGGCGACGAUCCAUAGCUGGUCUGAGAGGAUGAUCAGCCACACUGGGACUGAGACACGGCCCAGACUCCUACGGGAAGCAGCAGUGGGGAAUAUUGGACAAUGGGCGAAAGCCUGAUCCAGCAAUGCCGCGUGAGUGAUGAAGGCCUUAGGGUUGUAAAGCUCUUUUACCCGGGAUGAUAAUGACAGUACCGGGAGAAUAAGCUCCGGCUAACUCCGUG
rnacentral:rRNA from 1 species